UUUUUCGGAAGUAGAUAUUGUACAUACUGAUGUUAUAUUUUUAUUUCCAGCUUUGAGAGGUGGCGGCUAUGUAUUUGGGGAAUCAUAUCAAUUGUGCUAUCUUUGAGCUUGUGUAUGUAUAGAGGUUUACUUACUAUUAGAUAAUUGCGUGUGAUAAAGCGCAGCAGAAAAAGAAAAUCAAACAAUUUUGAUUUUAAAACUCCAGAUCUGAUCUCUAAAACCAUGCAAACAUGAUCUCUUAUGUUGUUUAAGAUUAAAGAAGAAACAAAGAGAUCUAAUCUUCACUUUUGUGCGGGUAGAUCUUCGCCGCAAUCUGAUGAUCGUAAAAUUAGGUUUUCUUGAAGCCGCACAAGCGUCCGGGCUCUAAGGUAUCCGUAAGAGAUUGGUGAUCUGAUCGAUGUCCUCACCAGAGUGCUAGCUCCCUUACAAAGGACGUGUUUCUUGCUAGAGGAUCAAAAAGAAGAAGAGAGAGAAAGAGAGAUGACGGGCUAAGGUUUUCUAAAAACUUUCAUAUCUUAUAAAAAGCGAUAUAAUCUGCCACACAUUGCAACCGCCAAUUUGGUCGGUUCGGGCACGUACACAGACCGUGGAACGGACAGAGUCUUCCCUGCACGCCCAAGGCCCAACAACAUCAUGUAUAUCGAGUUUUUCCCGGGAAAAAAUAAAUAACAGACAUGAUUUGCGCGAGGGCAAUAAACAAGAGCAAGAGAGAAGAUUAACUUAGCUAUUACAAUCAUUCAUUCACUUAACCAUUUACAACUCACCAAAAUACAAUCAUUGGUUCAUAUUACACACACAUGGUUUUCAUCUUACUACAAGUUUUCUCCCAAAAUACAACAUGUCACACACUGUCACGCCCCGAACCCGAUCCUUUUGGCCGGUUCGAGAGUGUGAAACAGACGCCGAACGGACAGAGCCUCCCCUGUCCGCCCAAGGCUCAACAACAGGUACAGAUAGAGUAUAGAAAUUGCAUAAGCGGAAGCAUACACAAUGGCUUGCACGAGGGCAAGCAAUAGCCAAGAGUGAAAGUAAACAACUACACCUAUAGAAUCUAUUACAACUUUGCAUCAUUUCAUUUUACAUCUCAUUUC
rnacentral:lncRNA from 1 species